CUGGCCAUGCUGGGGCGGGGCUUCCAGGGACAGCACUAACCGAGCGCAGCAUCAGCUGCAGCAUCUCACAGUGACUGGUGCCAGGCCCGCAGCCCAGCACUCCACCUGUGGAGGCUCCUCUAGGACAGCAUUGCUGUGAGGUGGCCACAGCCAGACUCACUGAGAGUGAGAAUCUGAGGCUCCAAAGGGACAAGAGACUUGCUGAAGGACACGGAAAGGCGUCAUAACCUAGGGCUGUCUGCUGACGCCUCAAGAAGUCCCCUAAAUGACAGACCAUCCACCAAAGACACAGCUGAUUCCCAGAUGCUGAGGAAUGACCCCAAUACCAACAGGGAUUGGUGCGGUUGUUCCACAUGGUGUCUGGAUCUCUCAGAAUACGUGGCUGACCAGAAGAUGUUCUCAAGAGCUUGGGUCACUCAUCACUGCACCUCAUUUUCUGAGGAGUGGGAACAGCAAACACACGCACAGAUAUGGCUGUGGGGCUGGAGUGCAUGGAUGUGAUUGUUUGAAAACCAUAGAUUGAACUGCUAUUGGGCCAUCCUGCUUAGCGGAAGAAGGAGAGAAAUGAAAAGAGCAGAGAAGAAAUGAGGAACAAGGUAUACGGCUUU
rnacentral:lncRNA from 1 species